CCUACGGGAGGCAGCAGUGGGGAAUAUUGGGCAAUGGGCGCAAGCCUGACCCAGCAACGCCGCGUGAAGGAAGAAGGCCCUCGGGUUGUAAACUUCUUUUAUUCGGGACGAAACAAAUGACGGUACCGAAUGAAUAAGCCACGGCUAACUACGUGCCAGCAGCCGCGGUACUACGUAGGUGGCAAGCGUUAUCCGGAUGUACUGGGUUGAAAGGGCGUUUAGGCGGGAGAGCAAGUCAGACGUGAAAUUCCAGGGCUCAACCCUGGAACUGCGUUUGAAACUGUUCGUCUUGAGUGAGGGAGAGGUAGGCGGAAGUCCGGGUGUAGCGGUGAAAUGCGGAGAU
rnacentral:rRNA from 1 species